rnacentral:lncRNA from 1 species
ACUUCCGUAUAAAAUAUAAAAAAGUAAUUAAAAAAGGAAGGAAAAAGCCCAAACCAAAAAUGUAAAACUCAAAGCUACCAAAAGAUACCCCGCACCGAUUAUAUCAUACCCUUAACACACUCCAACAAAACAGCAAAGCCAAACAAUCAUAUUGGAGGAAGAAAUCUGUCAAAAACAUCCUUGAUUUUCAACCUCUUCACAAAUCGAGAACACCACUUUCGACGACACUCGUUACCGUCGACCAACACCAUUCAUCUCACCUCAUUUAGGCGUACAUUCUAAUGGAACAUCACUACCAAAAUAGGCCAAAAAUUUUACUGCAAUUUUUGGGAAAAUGUAUCCAAUUCGCAAAAUCGCCACAAGCAGUCAUGCCUCCUCCAAUUGAAGGAUCCCACACUAUUUUUCUAUUCAAUUGCGAACAGUCGAAUGCUCUGCACUAUAAUACGACCUUGGGUGUACAAUCAAUUGAACCAAUUCAGCCUUCAAUUACUGUAUGAUGAAAAACAAAAAACAUAUUUUGGAUUUGUGAGUUGUGAUGAAUCCAUAAACUAUCCAAAAUUGGGUGUUCAGCACCGCCGUUGUUAAUGGCGCUCACAGUGGCUACUUUUGCUCUCCUCUCUUCUUGAAACAAAUCCCACAGGCAUUGCAAAGUGACUAUCAAAUUUAUGUCUAUUAGUUUACACUUUUCACAAUAUAGUUUAAUCACAAAGAAAAGAAAACUAAAUUCCCAAAUGUAAAAUUAAACCUUAAGGCCUCUUGUACUAUUCCUCCAUAUCGGAGCAGAAGUGGUGUUACAAUUUGCACACCGCCGAGCCAAGACUCGGUCCUCUUCGAAAGUAGUUGUUCUUUUUGCUGCAAAACCACAGAUUUAUGUCCACUUAAAACUGUAAUAGCACCAACUUAUUCAAGAAUUGGGGGAGCCAUUUUAUGCGUUAAAGACAGAAGUUUGAAGAUUUUGAGAUUUGUGUAGUUGACCGGCAAUGGUUAAUAUGCGGAUAGGAGCGUUUGCU